rnacentral:lncRNA from 1 species
GGCCACUUCUCUCCACAGCCGCCAUUUUGGCAGAAGCCUAAGCCUUGCUCAUCCCUUACUUAGGCUACAUUUUCAAAAGUCAGAAAAAACUUUUUCCUGAAGAAGGGGUUUCUGAGACAAGUAGGUCAAAGAAAGGCCAGCGUGUGGGAGUGUGUGUGUGUGUGUGUGUGUGUGUGUGUGUCCUUGAGUAAAAUUGCAAGCCAAAGAGGAAGGCAGCAGUAUGUAUUCUCUGUAGGACCCCUAUUUGUGACCAAUUGUAAGAUCAUCUGAAGAUCGAGUCCGAUUGCCUGGCCAGGCCGGGCUGGGUGGUAUGUGCCCCCGUCACGCCGGAGGUUCCUGCUUUAGCGACGCCAAAGAUUGGGUGUGAGGGCAGCCCGCGGUGACAGAGACACGGAUCGGACCGAGAGAAAAAGGCUGUGGGCUUCACUGAGCAGAGUGACGUCAAUUCACAGGACCUCCACAGUGUGCCUUUUGCUGGGUAGGAAAAUGCCAGCCAGCUUGGAAAACAAGAAGACACAUUUAUGUCUACCAUGAGCAUUGGCAUCAGCCAAUUAUCCCACACGUUUUCGGCUAGUCAGUGCUGAAGAGAGCAAGGUGUCUGGGAACGUGAAUUGUG